rnacentral:rRNA from 1 species
GACACGGACCAGACUCCUACGGGAGGCAGCAGUGAGGAAUAUUGGGCAAUGGAGGCAACUCUGACCCAGCCAUGCCGCGUGCAGGAAGACGGCCCUAUGGGUUGUAAACUGCUUUUAUAUACCAAGAAACCCCAUCACGUGUGAUGGCUUGACGGUAGUAUAUGAAUAAGGACCGGCUAACUCCGUGCCAGCAGCCGCGGUAAUACGGAGGGUCCGAGCGUUAUCCGGAUUUAUUGGGUUUAAAGGGUGCGCAGGCGGUACAAUAAGUCAGUGGUGAAAUCCCGAGGCUCAACCUCGGAACUGCCAUUGAUACUGUUGUGCUAGAGUACAGACGAAGUAGGCGGAAUGUAGCAUGUAGCGGUGAAAUGCUUAGAUAUGCUACAGAACACCGAUUGCGAAGGCAGCUUACUAGACUGUUACUGACGCUAAUGCACGAAAGCGUGGGGAGCGAACAGGAUUAGAUACCCUGGUAGUCCACGCCGUAAACUAUGAUCACUCGAUGUUGGCGAUACACAGUCAGUGUCUAAGGGAAACCGAUAAGUGAUCCACCUGGGGAGUACGAUCGCAAGGUUGAAACUCAAAGGAAUUGACGGGGGCCCGCACAAGCGGAGGAGCAUGUGGUUUAAUUCGAUGAUACGCGAGGAACCUUACCUAGACUUAAAUGUAGAUUGCAUAGAUUAGAAAUAAUCUUUUCCUUCGGGACUAUUUACAAGGUGCUGCAUGGUUGUCGUCAGCUCGUGCCGUGAGGUGUCGGGUUAAGUCCCAUAACGAGCGCAACCCCUAUUCUUAGUUGCCAGCGGGUCAUGCCGGGGACUCUAGGAAAACUGCCGGCGCAAGCCGUGAGGAAGGUGGGGAUGACGUCAAAUCAGCACGGCCCUUACGUCUAGGGCUACACACGUGCUACAAUGGCCGGUACAGAGGGCAGCUACCACGCGAGUGGAUGCGAAUCUCCAAAGCCGGUCUCAGUUCGGAUCGCAGUCUGCAACUCGACUGCGUGAAGUUGGAUUCGCUAGUAAUCGUAUAUCAGCAAUGAUACGGUGAAUACGUUCCCGGGCCUUGUACACACCGCCCGUCAAACAAUGGAAGCUGGGGGUACCUAAAGUCUGUGAUCUCACUUGUGGGAAGCGGCCUAGGGUAAAACUAGUAACUGGUGUUAAGUCGUAACAAGGUAGCCGUACCGGAAGGUGUGGCUG